UUUCCGUAGGUGAACCUGCGGAAGAAUCAUUAAUGAGUUGUCAUGGGGUUCGAUGCUGGCAGCCAGUUUUUGGAUGCAUGUGCUUGCCCUAACAAUCAUCUUCUUCCAAACACCUGUGCACAUUUUUGAGGGAGUCUUGAGUUGGUUGCCGCUCUUGGGUGAUUUUCUCACAUUCCCUUAAAUCAUUAUACGCUAUUAACAAUGUUGAACGUGCUCUGUGCCGCAAGGCCAUUAAUAUAAUACAACUUUUAACAACGGAUCUCUUGGCUCUC
rnacentral:misc_RNA from 1 species